ACGCGUGGAACCUUACCAACCCUUGACAUGUGUAUCGCGGUUCCAGAGAUGGUUCCUUCAGUUCGGCUGGAUACAACACAGGUGCUGCAUGGCUGUCGUCAGCUCGUGUCGUGAGAUGUUCGGUUAAGUCCGGCAACGAGCGCAACCCACACUUCUAGUUGCCAGCAUUCAGUUGGGCACUCUAGAAUAACUGCCGAUGAUAAGUCGGAGGAAGGUGUGGAUGACGUCAAGUCCUCAUGGCCCUUACGGG
rnacentral:rRNA from 1 species